AAUGAACUUAGGCUUACGGUGGAGACCUAGGCACCCAGAGACGAAGAAGGGCGCAGAUACCGGCGAAACGCUCCGGGGAGUUGGCAACAAACUUUGAUCCGGAGAUCCCCGAAUAGGGCAACCUGUACAACUUCCAACAGAAUUCAUAAGUUGGAAAGAGGCAACCCAGUGAAUUGAAACAUCUUAGUAGCUGGAGGAAAAGAAAGCAAACGCGAUUCCCGUAGUAGCGGCGAGCGAACCGGGAACAGCCUAAACCCAUUUCCAUUAGGGAAUGGGGGUAGUGGGAAGACAUUAUAAAAAAUAGAAAAUAAGAGAAAUUUCUAAUCAGCGAAGCUGUUAAAAAUUUCUUCUCUUUAAAAAUUUUCUAAAAACGAAACAGCUGAAUCCUGUACCAUAGAUGGUGAAAGUCCAGUAGUUGAAAUGAAAAAAAACAAAAUGUCUUAUCCCGAGUAGCAUGGGACACGUGGAAUCCCGUGUGAAUCAGCGAGGACCACCUCGUAAGGCUAAAUACUCCUGGGUGACCGAUAGUGAAAUAGUACUGCGAAGGAAAGGUGAAAAGAACCCUCGUAUAGGGAGUGAAAUAGAACAUGAAACCGUAAGCUGACAAGCAGUGGGAGGUUAAGAGCUGACCGCGUGCCUGUUGAAGAAUGAGCCGGCGACUUAGAGGGAGUGGCAAAAAGGUUAAGGAGAAACAUCCGGAGCCAACGCGAAAGCGAGUCCGAAAAUUCGGCGAAGAAUUUGUCAUUUCCUCUGGACCCGAACCCGGGUGAUCUAAUCAUGACCAACAUGAAGCUUGGGUAACACUAAGUGGAGGUGUGCACCGACCGAUGUUGAAAAAUCGGCGGAUGAGUUGUGAUUAUGCGCAGAAAUUGCAAUCGAACUCGGAGCUAGCUGGAUCUCCCCGAAAUGCGUUGAGGCGCAGCGGCAACGACGAGCUAUCAUAAGGUAAAGCUACUGUUUCGAUGCGGGCUGCGAGAGCGGUACCAAAUCGUGGCAAACUCAGAAUGUAUGAUAUUGCCUACCGUUAGCCAGUGAGACCCAAGGUGAUAAGAUCUUCGGUCAAGAGGGAAACAGCCCAGAUCACCAGCUAAGGCCCCUAAAUGGUUUCUAAGUGGAAAAGGAUGUGAGAGUGCAGAAACAACCAGGAGGUUUGCUUAGAAGCAGCAAUUUCCUUGAAAGAGUGCGUAAUAGCUCACUGGUAAAGCGUUCUUGCGCCGAUAAUGGCCGGGACUAAGAAACCUGCCGAAGCUGUGAGAUUCUUAUAUAAGAAUCGGUAGGGGAGCGUUCCGUUAUUGGGUGAAGUUAUGGUGUAAACCAGAAUGGACAAAACGGAAGUGAGAAUGUCGGCUUGAGUAACGAAAACAUUGGUGAGAAUCCAAUGCCCCGAAAACCGUUGGGUUCCUCCACUAGGUUCGUCCAUGGGGGGUUAGUCAGGUCCUAAGGCUAGGCCGAAAGGCGUCGUCGAUGGCAAACAGGUUAAUAUUCCUGUACUGAUUCUAUUGGGAACAAGGGACGAAGAAGGCUAAACUGAGACUACUAAUGGAUUAUAGUGGAAGCGUCAAGGUGUUGAGAGUUAGAAGAAAAACUAAACUUGAGCUGAGGCGUUAUCCCGAUAACAAUCCUUCGGGGUUGUUGUCGUCAGUGAUGUCAUGCUUCCAAGAAAAGCUUGAGCUCCAUAACAAUAGAAUUACCUGUACCUAAAACCGACACAGGUAGGUGAGUAGAGAAUACUAAGGGGCGCGAGAGAACUCUCUCUAAGGAACUCGGCAAACUGGCCCCGUAACUUCGGAAGAAGGGGCGCCUUUAAUUUCAUUAAAGGUCGCAGUAAACAGGCCCAGGCAACUGUUUAUCAAAAACAUAGGUCUCCGCAAAGUCGAAAGACUAUAUAUGGGGGCUGACGCCUGCCCAGUGCCGGAAGGUUAAGGAAGUUGGUUAGAGAGCUUGUCUCUCGAAGCUGACGACCGAAGCCCCGGUGAACGGCGGCCGUAACUAUAACGGUCCUAAGGUAGCGAAAUUCAUUGUCGAGUAAGUUUCGACCUGCACGAAAGGUGUAAUGAUCUGGGCGCUGUCUCGGAGAGAGACUCGGUGAAAUAGACAUGUCCGUGAAGAUGCGGACUACCAAUACUAGGACAGAAAGACCCUAUGAAGCUUGACUGUAUCCUGGAAUUGAACUCGGGCUUUUCUUGCGCAGCCUAGGUGGGAGGCGUUGAAGGUCCCCUUCCGGGGGGGCUGGAGCCAUCAUUGAGAGACCACUCUGGAAGAGCUAGAGUUCUAAUGGUGAUCUUUGAAACAAGACACUUGACAGUUUCAGGUGGGCAGUUUUCCUGGGGCGGGAACCUCCCAAAGCGUAACGGAGGUGUGCAAAGGUUCUCUCAGUCUGGACGGAAAUCAGACAUUGAGUGUAAAGGCAAAAGAGAGCUUGACUGUAAGACCAACAAGUCGAGCAGGGGCGAAAGCCGGCCUUAGUGAUCCGACGGUGCCGUGUGGAAGGGCCGUCGCUCAACGGACAAAAGUUACUCUAGGGAUAACAGGCUGAUCUUCCCCAAGAGUUCAUAUCGACGGGAAGGUUUGGCACCUCGAUGUCGGCUCAUCACAUCCUGGAGCGGUAGUACGUUCCAAGGGUUGGGCUGUUCGCCCAUUAAAGUGGUACGUGAGCUGGGUUCAGAACGUCGUGAGACAGUUCGGUCCCUAUCCGUCGUGGGCGUAGGAAAUUUGAGAGGAGCUGUCCUUAGUACGAGAGGACCGGGAUGGACAUACCUCUGGUGUACCAGUUGUCGUGCCAACGGCAUCGCUGGGUAGCUAUGUAUGGACGGGAUAAGUGCUGAAAGCAUCUAAGCAUGAAGCCCCCCUCAAGAUGAGAUUUCCCUACAGAUGCCAGAGAGACGAUCUGGUGGAUAGGUUUGGCGUGUAAGUAUGGUGACAUACUCAGCGGACAAAUACUAAUUCAUCGA
rnacentral:rRNA from 1 species